AUUGAACGCUGGCGGAAUGCUUUACACAUGCAAGUCGAACGGCAGCACGGGGCAACCUGGUGGCGAGUGGCGAACGGGUGAGUAAUAUAUCGGAACGUGCCCAAUCGUGGGGGAUAACGUAGCGAAAGUUACGCUAAUACCGCAUACGACCUACGGGUGAAAGCGGAGGACCUUCGGGCUUCGCGCAGAUAGAUGAGCCGACGUCGGAUUAGCUAGUUGGCGGGGUAAAGCCCACCAAGGCGACGAUCCGUAGCUGGUCUGAGAGGAUGAUCAGCCACACUGGAACUGAGACACGGUCCAGACUCCUACGGGUGGCAG
rnacentral:rRNA from 1 species